UUAAAAAAUAUAAAUAAAAAAAACCAAUGUAAAGGCUGCAAAUCGCGUGAAGCAAGCAAAGAGAGAAAGUCAAUAGUCUCAAACCUAACUCCCUCACUCUUUGACACCAAGCCACUAGCCGUCUAGUUCACCGUACCAGUACGCACCAGCCACAAGGUGUUGAGUAAACGGCGACCACCAGCCCACUGUAGUCUCCACACUCUCCUUCUGUCUGCAACUCUGCAAGCCUGCCGAUCCGCCAUGCCUUCCGCGCCGCCACAUCGCCUUCCACCACUAACAAGAAUUACCGGAGUGAGUGACCACCGCCACAGAGCAAGGUAUUGUACGAGGUUCGGGUCUUGAUAUUGGUGAAUUACUAAGGUGGGAGAUUCUUUUGGAGCAAGCUCAUGUCAAUUGGAAAGCUCAAGAUGUAAGGAAGUGGAUUCUCCAAGUUCUAGCUCUUGCGUUCACAAGCCGAGCUCUCAUGAAGAUGGGCUGUUGAACCCACAAUCAAGUGUUUUUGGGACUGCCUAUCUUAUUGUUCAUCAUCAUCAUGUUGUGCAUUCAUUCGAAGACCUUAGCGAACGCACAAAUCCGCGAGAAAAUCCGAAGAAACCCAGAAGAGCACGGGCGCGCGCUGUUGCUGCGGGGGCGCUCCUUUGCGGGUUCCGGCUUCUCUCUUCUUUGUUUCGCGCCUCUUAUAAAUAUCCUUUUGAACCUAAUUUUGCAGAAAAGUUUUAUUUUAGAUUUAGAUCAUAUUCUUAGCUUAGUUGAGAGCAUCUCUCUCUAGUUUUAGGGUUAGUUUUAAGAGUAGAAUUUAGAGAGAGAAAGUGAGGAAUUUCAAUGGUGAUUUGAGUGUUGAAGAUUUAAGGUGAUAAUUGUAUUGAAGAUUAUCAAAUCAAACAAUGAGGAUUUCUAACUCUAUCUCAUUUUAUUGCUAUGUUUGAUUUCAUA